UCCAAAUCUGAGUCAGUUACUUGCAACAGCAGAUUGGCCUCUCAUAUGGAAAUCUUAAAAAUUGCUUGAGGAAGUGCAGCCUGGGUUUUCUGUCAUAAAUAGGAUAAAACCUGCCUAUAUGUCCCAAAACAAUCAUGGAGGAAAAAAUCAAGGCUUCACUGAGCAAAAUGCAACAAAGGAUCUGGGGAGGCAAAAUACAAAGAUGUGUUUCAAAGAGAAGCCUGAAGCCUGGGGUUCAUUGCAUAUUGAAGAUUCCUUUGCCAUGGUAGUCUUUGUGAUGAAAACACCGCACUUGAAAAUACAUGGAAACAGAGCAAGAAAUGAAGAAAAGUCUCACAGUGCCAGUCCUAGCCGCAGAGUAUAAGCAUCCACUUCAAAGCCAUCUACUGUACCUGCAACUACACAGUAACAGCUUUUUACAACCCAAAUAAGGAAUCUUGUGACUACUUGGAAGAUUAGUGACCAAAGAUCUCAUCACAUGGAGUCCAUAAGCCAGGAGACAGUGGAGGAAUCUGUGGGGCAGUAGGUGGAACCACCAGACAACUCCCCUCAAUGUCCCCUUACCAUCCCACACCAUUUCCCAUCUGCCCCCGGCUUCCAACCCCACUGUCCACAGCUUAGUCUAUGUGAACACUUGUUCUCAGGGCUGUGUCUUAGCUUCAGCUGUUUCCUGUAAUUAUAUAUUUAAACUGUCAGAUGACCACUAAUGGCUGCUCACACUAUAGAAUCCACAAUCAGCACGUAGAUACUGCGAAAAUGUGAGUAGACAAUUGUGACUAUUAUGCCUGGGAGUAAACACUAUGCUAAAUAUAGCAUUUGUUGAUAUGUCUAUUUUCACCUGGUCUAUAUAAAUCAUAUGUGAUAUCUUAUAAAGAGCACUGUAUUAGACCAUUUUCCUUUUAUCUUUUUAAGAAAACUUGAAGCUGAGCCAACAAUACAAAUAUUCAAAACAUUGCCGCUUACCAGAUGAAGGGUUAACUGAAACUGGAGUAAACCUGGGAACCAGUAGUAAAUGGCUUAUGUAAACAGCUUACUUCGGCUCACAGCCAGCCACUUUAAAAUAACAACUAUCUGACCGAGCUUCCUGGCUGGGAACUGUAAAUGACUGCAACAUUUGUUACAAACUGAAUCUACAGCCAAUUGACUGCAUUUACAUCCUGAGGAGUCCUAUAGAAUUACUCCAAGACUACAGAGACUUUGAUUUGUUUUGACUCCAAGCCAGGUUUGAGCCAAUUGAAUUGUACAUGGAUAUAAUUAGUUUUACAGCAUAUUAUAUGCCAUUUUGAAGAGACUGAAUAUACACAUACUGUGUUGCUAACAAACUUUAGUUGGAGUCUUGUUGAUACAUGUCUGAUAUAUGUUUUACACUGAAAACUGCUCUGUGUAGCAAUUAAAUCUGGAUGAUUGCAGUCUAAAAAACUUUAUAUUCUUUAAGUUACGACUGUGUGCCACUACAGCUGACAGAAUUGGAUCAUCAGUUGUAUUAUUAUUUGUAUUAUUGUUAACAUUAUUAUUUAUAUGAUGCUCUAAUAUACAUAUUGUGUUCUAUGUUUUGAACCUUUACUGUGGUGCAUAUUUUUCAGAUAUAGCUAUUACAGAUAGGCAACAACCAUUGAGGGCUGCAAUAUCAAUGGCUAUACUACUAUACAAAAUCCCAGAAUACUUGUAAAGUAUCUACACAAACACAAGAUGGUCUAUGUACAAAGAAAAUAUGUCCAAAUAGCAUAUAGUAUUAUUAAAGUUCCCCGUACAAAGCUCAGUUUGGUAGUACCAGACAAAAUGAAAAGGAGCAACACCUCUAACACAAAAAAUAUCCAAGUCCGAUAUUGGUUCCAAUGCAUAUAGGCUUCAGGGAUACAUAAUCAAUGAAAAUAUCUUCCAAACAAAGUAAACAGACGGUUGGUCAUGUUGCUGUAUAUUGGAAUGAAGAAAAUAAUGAUGGAGCACUGCUCUCAAGAAAGUCUUCGCAAGUAAAGUCCAAAUAAAGUCCCAAGUCUACAGGGGUUCCCAGGUAUUUUUGUACCCUGUUUCAAGGAGAAAAUCCCCUUCUUCAGGAGUUGGUAUACUCAGCAACAAUGAACUUAUUUCUAAAACAAAACAUAGAGUAACAAGUAUUUUACCAGCAGUAUCUUUCAAUAAAAUUAUUAUUAAAAAAAGAAACACGUUGGAGGUGCAUGUGCACACAUAUGAAAUGUAAAAACAUCAGUGCAAUAUUUUUUAAAGAUGUUAACAUUGUAACAGCUAUCCUGAUGAAACAGAAGGUUACAUUGACUAUGCUUGGCACUAGGGUGCAUGAAAAUUACUAUGAACCCAGAUUAUGCCAGGUUUGCAUCAAAGGGCUAGAAUUGAUGUGAAGAUAGUUGCACAUUGUAUGCUGCCAAUGCAAGCCCUUCACACAUUUUGCUAUAAUCAUUAUGAAUCAAAUCAUUUGUCUUUUAUUGAUGAUAUCAUUUCUGUUCAAAAUGUGAAGAAAGAGCAAUUUUACAGGGGCCUGGAGAUCUGCGUGAUCAUUAUAUACCUUGAUUACUGAUUGUUUUAUGAAGGCAUAUUCCAAGGAAAAUGUCAUACUCAUUUAAAUCUCAGUUUCUUUUAUAAUCACAAAAAUGAUAACUUGACACAAGAUACUUUCUCUCUACACAUAUAAUUUCUUCAACAUUCAGAAUACUUAUAUUUCACAAAUAACCUUGUCAUAUACUCCUCCUACUGAAAGUUUAAGUCUGAAUUAGGCCUCAGUCUCAAACUUAUUAUAGACAUAAAGCCUAAGCAAGGGGGAAUUGAUGCUUCUAAGCAAGUAUAUAUUACAUCCUCUCUCCCAUGUAGAUUCAGCUAUCAAAUGUUCAUAUUCAUUUGUGUACACAGAGGCACAAAAAGCUAAAGUGCCACUAUCUCAGUCACCCAUGCAAACAAGCUGAACACAUUAAAGUUUUCUUGAGAAUUAUUUAUUGCUUGUGCAUAAAAUUGUUAAGGCAGCAGAUCUCUUUAUAGCCAUUUUAAAAUCAAUUUUAAAACAUACACCCCAGAGGAAGAGGGGAAUAGGGAAGGGUGGCUCCUUACACUAAGGAGGAAUCCUAGAACUAGAAGACACCACAUGGGACAUGCAGGAAAAGCAUAAUCAAAGCACCCCUGACACAUGGCCAUCCAGCCUCUGCUUAAAAGCCCCCAAAGAAGGAUCCUUGUGGACCAUAUUUUAGUUCUUGCGGAUCAUUAGUGGUCUGCUGACCACAGGUUGAGAACCACUGAUCUAGGGUGAUUGUGGAGAUGUGGCAGGGAGAAAUAUUUAUAUUCCACCGCUGCCACCAAAUUGUGGAGAUGUGGGGUAGAGGAGGAAUCUCUUUAUUAAUUAUAUUAUUAUAUUUUUAACUAUAUCCGCUGCCACCAAUAUAAAUAUGUUUUAUCUAACUGCUGCCACCAAUUGUGGAGAUGUCAGGCAGAAGGGAAUUUAUCUUCUUUAUUCUUCUUAUUUACUUUAGAUGGUAUCAUAACUUAGUUUUGAAUAUAGUGGACAGAGACUUGGAUAUCGAAGAACAAAAACAAGUUUAUUUCAGGGACAGAGCUUAGUGGUUACAGUAACUUCUUUAUAGGCACUUAGAUAAUGGUUGCAAAGAUUUUAACUGAUCACUUUGGAUCCAACUGUGAUUGCUUUCCCUUACUACUCAGACUCUACACAUAAACUCAAACAAGUCACCUAACUUGCUUAAUUUAACACAACUAGAGAUCUGAGUUUCCCUGGUUUCCCUAACCUGGAACCAGUGUCUUCUCUGUGACUAAAAAUCACAGACUAAACUGUUUUUUAAAACAUUCCCUCCUUUUCCUUCAAACGGCAGUUGGCUCCGCCCUCGUUACUAUGGUAACCUGCCUCAGAAUGCUGAGCUGGUUACCAUCCCCCACGCACUGGUAACUAAUACUUACCCUUUUAAACAUAUUUAAACAUGACUUUUAAAACGAAAUUAAACAAACAUGACAUCUAUAAAUCAAAAUAAAAACACAAUUCUUUACAGUGAUCAUCUAGUCGGACCCAGACUUUUGGUUUUCAGAAAACAGUAUGCUCCCUACAAGUGGCAUUCUGGCUGCAGCAUUUUGAACCACCUGAAGUUUCUGAACCAUUUCCAAAGUCAGUCCUACAAAGAGUGUGUUACAAUAGCCCAAAAAAUGCAAUCAAGCUAUGUGUCAUCGUGGCACAGAUCUGUGUUUCAGUCUGCUGCAGCUUUUCCACAGGAGACCUGAAAAUUCCAUCCAGCUUUGCUGUCUCUAGACUACUUGUGAGUAAGCAGAAGCCCUAGGCCCAUUCUAAGUAGGUGGGACUCAGCAACCUCCAAGCAGGGAGAAGCUAUAAAAGCUGAGUUGCACUAGGCCUGGCAAGACUUCAGUCUGCUGCAGCUUUCCCACAAGAGACCUGAAGAUUCCACCCAACUUUGCUGUCUCUGGACUACUUGUGAAUAGGUAGAAGCCCCAGGCCCAUUCCAACUGCUGUGCUCCUGCUGCUGCUGGUUGUUGAGGACUGUUGCGAGGCCACUUUAGCUCUGAGGACUGGAGACUGGGUAAUGUGGGAAGGGAAAGUUAGUGCAAUAGACUAAAAGGAAAUUUGUGCCAUAGAAGAGAAGUACCUAGACGUCCAUGAACAUGGACACUUUAGAGACUGGGAGAAACUCUGAAUUAUCAAAUAUAUGCAAACUGUUAGGUCAAUCAAUUGGUCUAAUUUUUAAACACCUGGAGACCUUAAACAAAAAACUUGACUACCUGUUCUCAGGUCUCUGUUUAAUUGCAAGGACACCAAUUGGCAAACCAUGAGCUCAGAAUGAGGACUGGGAUGACCUCCUAUAUUUUCCGGUAAACAAUUGUGUUAAUGUGGGAUUUGUGUAUUGGUAGUGUUUAAAUGCAAUUUGUGUCUUGCUUGUAUUGCAUACUGAUUGCAUCAUCCAGAGUGUAACAUAGUCUGGAAAGAGUUAAUUACUGAGAAGCUGUGAUGUCCUUGAUGUGUGGCUGGAGCUAGGGAGUGUCCAGUUACAAGUGUGUAUGCAUUGCUGAUUGCAUCAGUUCUGAGUAGAGUGCUGUCUGCUUAGAGUGUGAAUCAAGUCCUGUGUUCUUCUGCAAGUCUGUUUGUCUUGAUUAUUACUGCUUACAGUAAAAUUUUGUAUAUAGUUUUA